CUCGGCUGGUUUCUUGGCAUCUGAUUCCACUGUGGAACAAUCAUACCCCUGGCCCGAGCAGGCCUGAGAACAGCGAGAAGUGUUUCCUGGGGAGCAAAUUCCUGAACUGGGACCUGGGCAUGUGGCAGUGGAUCCCACCUGCCUUUCCCUCCCAGACUCCGCUCCUCGCAGGCAGAGCUGCCCUUUGACGCCUGCGUCUCAGUACCUGACUCAGGAGUGAGCACCUAGAGAAUUGGGCCCAGCUGAAGGAAUGAGUGGCUCUCCAGCUCCUUGGUUACAAUCUGCUGGUUGAUAUGACUGCUACCAUGCUCAUGAAAUUUAAAUUAAUUACACUAAAAUAAGAUGAAAACUUU